ACUCCUACGGGAGGCAGCAGUGGGGAAUAUUGCACAAUGGGGGGAAACCCUGAUGCAGCCAUGCCGCGUGUGUGAAGAAGGCCUUCGGGUUGUAAAGCACUUUCAGUAGGGAGGAAGGUAGUGUAGUUAACACCUGCAUUAUUUGUACGUUACCUACAGAAGAAGCACCGGCUAACUCCGUGCCAGCAGCCGCGGUAAGUACGGAGGGUGCGAGCGUUAAUCGGAAUUACGUGGGCGUAAAGCGCAUGCAGGCGGCCUGUUAAGUCAGAUGUGAAACGCCCGGGGUCUUAACCGUCGGAAUUGCAUUUGAAACUGGCAGGCUAGAGUCGUUGUAGAGGGGUUAGAAUUUCGAGGUGUAGCGGUAG
rnacentral:rRNA from 1 species